rnacentral:snRNA from 1 species
AAAACUUUCCGAAGGAAAAAUCUGUUCUUAUCAGUUUAAUAUCUGAUACGUCCCUACCCAGGGACCAUAUAUUAAAUUGAUUUUUGGAACUGGGAGAUGGAAUAGGGGCUUGCUCCGUCCACUCCACGCAUCGACCUGGUAUUGCAGUACCUCCAGGAACGGUGCACCCCCC